rnacentral:rRNA from 1 species
UACGUAGGGGGCAAGCGUUGUCCGGAAUCAUUGGGCGUAAAGAGCGUGUAGGCGGCUCGAUAAGUCUGCUGUGAAAGUCCAGGGCUCAACCCUGGAAGGCCGGUGGAAACUGUCGGGCUAGAGUCCGGAAGAGGCGAGUGGAAUUCCUGGUGUAGCGGUGAAAUGCGCAGAUAUCAGGAGGAACACCAAUGGCGAAGGCAGCUCGCUGGAACGGUACUGACGCUGAGGCGCGAAAGCGUGGGGAGCGAACAGG